AAAAAGGGGGGAAAACAGAGAAAAAGAUUGAGAAGAAUAGAGUUGUUGGUUGCUGAAACAGUUGGACUCAUAUAUAAUCAACUUUCUUACAAUUGGUAGACCAAGGAAAAAAACCAUUUCAAUCAGUGGAUGAAGAUGACAUCAACACUAAUAGGGGAAAAUGAUAAAGCAAUUGAAUGCAAUGAUAAUUGUUUGGAGGAUGUUGCCAAUGAUAAUAAUGAUGGUGACAAAGAAUCAUUGAUAAAUCCAUGGCCCAUGAGAAAGAGUUGGAUUUUGAAAUAAAGAAAGAAGAAUUGAAAUGAUAAACAAUUAAUUUUAUGGUCUUAUUAUUUCAUUUUAAGUGAUUUUAUUAAAUAUUUUUUUCUGCAUGAGUUCUUUUAUUUAUUUAUUCAUUUAUUAAUUUUAAAAUUUGAGGCUUAUGCCUUGAGGCUUACACCUCUCUUCAUUUAGGUGAAAUGCCUCAAGGAUGCCUUUAGCCUUUUAAACAAUGGGUUUCAUUGCCUUCUUCUAAGUGCAAGUCUGGUUGUGUAGUUGAUAUGGUCAUGAAUUUAGUCACUCUUAAUUUCUUUCAUCUGAUUCUGCAACUAAAGAAAACUUCUGUGGUCAGAACUUAAUAAUCUUGCAUAAGCAUCUCAGUGUUGAAGUCAAGUCGAUGGAUUUACAUGCAUUUAAUUUCCGUGGUCCCUUCUUCCCUUGAGAGACCUAAGUUAUUACAUUGUAAAGUCUCAACCAAAAUUUUGUUGUAAUCCAUGGAACUCAUAAUGGUUAAGCCUCCAAUAAAGCAAGGAGCUCAGCCUUUAUGGCUAAUCCUUUCACUAGGAAAUUUGGAAAAUGCUUUAACUAGAAGUCCCUUGUCUCAAAAGAUACCACCAAUAAUGAAAGUCUUUACCUGAAGGUAAUCGUCAAAGUUAAGCUUGAGGUAACUUUGUUCUUAAGUUUUCAUUCUAAAACAGCUUUGGCAGCCUCCUACUAGAAGAGAAUAGAAUUCGCCAACCUAAACAGAUCAUGCUUGUUGACUUCCCACGAAAGAUCGAAGAGAUCUGAGAUUGGGGAAGGAGGUGGGGGAGAAGAAAGAUUUGCAUGAUGACUCACAUUGAUUUUCUUCUAUCCUGAAAAUCUUGGCAUUUCUCUCUACCAGUAUUACCCAAAGAAUGACAGUUAAAAGUCACCUGCUAGAGGACCCUACAACUGGCAUUGCUUCCAAAAUCUGGAAAUGUGAUAAUCAUCAAAUUUAUUAUGUUCCUGGUCCCCAAUUGAAAUAAUCUAUGCUAGAGUGUUAAGACCACGUGUCAGUGGAGAAAUAAAUGAUUAGUUGUUUCUCUAUAACCCAUACACAUAAUUGACCACUAUCAUAUUAGUGCUGACCUUUUUGUUUGACCAGCCAGGCAAUAACCUUAAUUUUUAGGCAGGGCUUUGGAUUUUCAAAUAAAAUUAGCCUGAGGAGAAGAAUAUGGUUGGCUAGAAGAAAAAACCAGAAUGAAUGAACACAAGGAAAAUAACCCUAAGGUCAAUGACCAAAUUAUAUUGAGAAAAGAAGGUGAAAGAUAAACAUGAAGCAAAGGGGACAUUAAAGUGCUUAUCAAAAGAAAUAAAAAAUAAGGAAUACAUCAAAGUGGUGGUAUCAUAACUUUCCUGGUCAUUUGUAAGAGUCUAUUUUGAAGGUCUUUUCAGGAGUGCGAGUGGGAGACUGUAGAUAGGCUUAUUGAGAGUAUUCCUUAUGUGAGUUUGACUGGGUAAAGGGAAGAUUCCAUGUUGUGGAGGGAAAGGAAGGAGGAGAGGUUCUAACUGAAGUCUUUCUACAACUCAAUGUGCUCGAGGGAUAUUUCUUUUUGCUAAAAAAGAGAUGUGAGGUUAGAUGUGCCCCUUUGAGAGCUUGUUUCUUUGCUCGGGAAGCAGUGUGGGAGAAGAUUUUAACAACGGACCAAAUACUGAGGGGAUGGUCUUUGGUGGCUAUAUGCAGUUUGGGCAGAGCUAGUGUCGAAUUUUUAAGCCAUAACUCACUAUGAAAAAGCUUGGUUAUUGUGGUAAUGUUAUUUUUUAUCUUUGGGAUUCAGGUGGUUUUUGUAAGAUCAAUCAAAAAUCUCGUGGGUUGAGAGGCUUGGGGCAUGAAUAAAAGGUUGAUGAAGGUGUGGAGUAUAGCUCAUCUUUGUCUUUUUUUUAGUGCAUUCAGAAAUACUGUACAGUUGGAUUUUCAAUAGUAGAGGUUUUCAUCCAGAGAUUAAAAGUUCCAUAAAAUCUUACCUGUGGUCUAAAGUCUCAUUAGGGAUGGUUAAUCACUCUUUGCAUGACUUAGUUGAUGGCUUAAGUAGAAGAUGGUUGAUUUUUGAAUAGUUUCCUAUUUUCACUCACAUUGUGGUUCCCAUCGUAAAAUUUCAGCAUGCAUUGGUUGGCCCUCCCUUUUUUGCUGGGAGCUGUUUAAUAUUUAUCAAAGCAGAACAAAAGGAGGUUCUAAGAUGGAGAGAGAAAAUAUCUACAUCUAGAACUAAAAGGAGGCUAGCAUAGAGGAAACAUGUACCCUAAUAUAGAAGAAAUGGGAGAAUAUCUAUACCCUAAUCCAUGAUGAGAUAAACAAAUCCAAAAGUUUGCUUUGAUUUGAUUUUAACAAUCUCUCUAGUUGUUUACACCAUCAUAUGCUUCUCAGUGUGUCUUGGUCAUUCUAGUCUAUCUCUUGCUUUGUUGUUCAAGUAUUAUGAGUAUUGACAAAUCAGGAGUGACUGCACACUUCAGCAUUCUCUUAGCAAAUGGCUUUUGAAUAUUCUCUUUUGACUUUGAAUGGAUUGGGAUGCAUGGCAAAUAAUCCCCAGUGCACUCUUGAAUCACUUACAUAAGAAGAGAGCACAAUUUAGUAUGGACCAUAGAAAAACUUGCAUGUCGGUGUCAAGUUGAGCUGUCUGGAUUAGGGAAUUUUGGUAGUUGGCUGUCCAUAAUAAAAUGCUUGAGUUGGCCUUAUAAACAAAUUUUUUGUAUUACCAGCUGUUUAGGUUUCAGUUGUGUGCCAAGAUGAAGAGGAGAAUGUCUGUAGAUAUAUGUUAAUCUAUCAAAAAAAAAAAUGUCUGUAGAUAUAUGUUAGCCAACCGGCUUCAUGCUAGCACACCAUGUUUGUGCCUUUUAGAUCCUCACCCUGAACCCAAACACACACAACCAACCCCCCCACCCCACCCCUUCCUCUGAAGUUAAGCUGCAAGGCAUUGCCGUUCCUCUCUUCUAUUGGGUUUGUUAUCAUUCAUUGGACCCCCCAAAAGUGAACACACUGGUUUUGCAGAGGCUGAGUGGCUGACAAGAAUCUGCACUUCUAGACAUGUGUCCCAGUUGCAUAUUUAGUUGGUCAUCCUAUGCCUUAUGUUUUCCUUCACUGGCAAAAGCAAUAGUAUUUUUGUGUUCUGGGAGAUUCUUUCCCUUAAAAAGAAAUCGGCUUUUCAAAUUGUGAACCUACCUAAACAUAAAAAUAUGGAGUGGUCCAUCCAUGAAUUGGCCUGCACAAUUUGUUUCUCUUCUAUGGGUUGAUGAGUAUUGUUUCCAUUUGCUUCAUUAUCAUCUCUCUCUCUCCUGGGGUUUAAGCUAGUUUGAUAUUCUUUUGGAUGGCUACAAAUUGGUUUACCCACCUAAACAUAAAAAUAUGGGGUGGUCUAUCCAUAAAUUGGUCUGCACAAUUUGUUUCUCUUCUAUGGAUUGAUGAGUAUUGUUUACAUUUGCUUCAUUAUCAUCUCUCUCUCUCUUCUGGGGUUUAAGCUAGUUUGAUAUUCUUUUGGAUGGCUACGAGUUGGUUUUAAACUUCUUUUUUUACAUGAUUUAUUGUGUUGCAG
rnacentral:lncRNA from 1 species